rnacentral:lncRNA from 1 species
GUCUCAGUACUAACCCAUUAGGCGUCUGCAGUAACGGCUGCCCACUGUGGAGAGAAGCCAUGCUGGCCAAGGGUAAGAAGAGCGCUGGUCCAUGGGUACAGACAUGAGUGUUCAGAAGCCAGCGUGGCAUUACGUGUCCUUUAGCAAAAGAACAGUAAGAAGUCCCUCAUGAGGCCCGUGACUGGUCUAACUAUGGAGUUUUGACAAGGUUUGUGGUACAAGGUCUGAAUUCCUGCAGAGUAGGUCUUCAAUGCCAAAGGGGCUGGUUAUUCAUAACCUUCAUGCUAUUAUUGCCUGAGGGAGCAGAUCGGGCAUGGUAGGUCGGUCUUGUAGCAUGGAGGAUUGGGUGCUAGCUAAGACGACCGAUGUGUUUUCUCCCUCCCCUGGCCUGCAUGGCUCCCGACAGCUCUGAAAGCUAGUCAGCUCUGAGGAAGCUUUCAGCUGAUGUCUGUGUCAGAGCAAGCAGAGUGUGUCUUCCGCAGUAGAAUCUUACCAACUAAUUUGGGUGACCUCUGGGACCUCCCUGACCAAUAAGUUGUAGGGAGGUAUCUUCUAUUGUCCCGCUUCAUCUCUGGGAUAUCUGAGGGACAGGAAAGAUCAGCAAGGUGACCGACCUCAGGCUUACAUUCAGGAAGAGGUAAGUCUGGAAAUUGAACCCCGGGGUAUCUCAAUCCAAAGCUUAUUUCUGCCUCUGCACCAGUAGUGGGGAGUUUAGAACGUCGUGGGAGCUGAUUCCACAGUUAGCACUGGCAGGUGCCCACUGCGCAGAUCCAUUGGCUGAAGCUAUGCUGCGCCUACCCAGCUGGCUGCCCACCUUGGGCUGCUGCCCUGGACAUGCCCACCAUGGGACUCUGCAGGGCCAUGUGCCCAUUGCACCAGGCCCUGUCUUUUCCUUUUCCCUGCCAGCUUGAGGAUGGUUUUAUCAGAGGAGGGACAGUGGGUGCCAGUGCAAGAGGACUGGAAGGGAACAUUUGCAGUGUCACAUAGUGAGUUUGAGUUGACCUAAUGGCUGCCAAGUCAUAUCUGCCUUUGUGGGGAUCGUAGAGGUUAAUUACCACAGGCCUCAAACUCAGGUCCCAUGUGUUCAGUGUCCUGAGGUGGCCCUCCCCCUGCAGGUCACUAAGAACACCCAGAGAACAUGACAUUGCUCACGGGGAGCUCCUGGGGCCCCCUAAUGCCAGCAUAACACUGCUGGGCAGCUUGGAGCUUCCGGCCCAGACAGAAGUGGGCUGGGACACGAGGCCAUGCUGCUAGGCAACCAUCAGCGCAUUUCUGCUGAUCACCAGCUUGGCCCUGUCUGUGGAUGACAAGAGGCCUCUGCUCUUGACCCUUAAUAAUAGUCCAGGGGCGGGGGCAUGGUUCCCCAGAAGUCACUGGUCCUGCAUGCUUGCCUACGCCAGUGGGAAACAGGGUUGAGGGGUAUUGCACGGGAUGCCUGGUGGGUCUGCUAAGUGCGGAAUGGUCCAGGUGGACCUCACGAGAAGAAGUAGAAAGUUGAAGAUGCUCUUGAUGGCUCGGUAGCUCUGCUUUUGGGGGCCCUGUGUGAGCCACUCCAUGACCAGGUGCCCAGGCACUUCCUGACUCCGUAUGGUAAUGACUGAAUCAAGGCAGAAGUAGAAGGCUUCUGGGAGCCUUCUGAAGAGGUCAGGAGCCGCAGGUCACAGGCAGCACAGGAAUUUGCAGGUCAUCAAGGCCCUGGUUCCACACUUCCCAGCAGGCACAAGUUGUAGUGUGCUGGGUCUUCCUUACUCCCAGAGGGCAGCCCUGCAACUCCUGAGCUGCUUUGGCGAACCUCUGGUGUCUAAUUCUACAUCCUGACCAAAGAUGUUGCUUUCCAAAAUGUUCUCAAAUAAAGGUUCUGGAAUC